CCCGUCAGAGCGAACGCUGGCGGCAGGCCUAACACAUGCAAGUCGAACGGACCCUUCGGGGUUAGUGGCGGACGGGUGAGUAACACGUGGGAACGUGCCUUUAGGUUCGGAAUAGCUCCUGGAAACGGGUGGUAAUGCCGAAUGUGCCCUUAGGGGGAAAGAUUUAUCGCCUUUAGAGCGGCCCGCGUCUGAUUAGCUAGUUGGUGAGGUAAUGGCUCACCAAGGCUACGAUCAGUAGCUGGUCUGAGAGGAUGACCAGCCACAUUGGGACUGAGACACGGCCCAAACUCCUACGGGAGGCAGCAGUGGGGAAUCUUGCGCAAUGGGCGAAAGCCUGACGCAGCCAUGCCGCGUGGAUGAUGAAGGUCUUAGGAUUGUAAAAUCCUUUCACCGGUGAAGAUAAUGACUGUAGCCGGAGAAGAAGCCCCGGCUAACUUCGUGCCAGCAGCCGCGGUAAUACGAAGGGGGCUAGCGUUGCUCGGAAUUACUGGGCGUAAAGGGAGCGUAGGCGGACAUUUAAGUCAGGGGUGAAAUCCCAGAGCUCAACUCUGGAACUGCCUUUGAUACUGGGUGUCUUGAGUGUGAUAGAGGUAUGUGGAACUCCGAGUGUAGAGGUGAAAUUCGUAGAUAUUCGGAAGAACACCAGUGGCGAAGGCGACAUACUGGAUCAUUACUACGCUA
rnacentral:rRNA from 1 species